UAAGAAGAAAGGGAAGAUUUAGGACAGAGGAGAAGAAGAAUUUAGAAGGAAAUUGUAAUGAAUUCUAGUAUUGCUCUCUCUAAAAUGGCUCAUAGUACAUUUUUAUCUGUAGUUUAAUCUCCCAAGUGUGAAUCAGUUACAAAAUAGAAUUCCUAACCACUUUAAUGUUGUUUCUGGUGGCAAGUUGGGGAAUUUUCCAUUAACUCUAUUUUUAACAAAGUAAAUCAUAUUUUAUAAAUCACUACUUUUGGAUGGAUAGAUAAAGGCCUAUCUUAUGGUAGAAAUAGUGAAG
rnacentral:misc_RNA from 1 species